AUAAAGUCUCCAUCCCAACUAAAACAGUGACCAUUCGAGGCCUUCCCUUCAAAGUAAGGAACCCAAACAAGAUCUACUCCACGCACUUCCAUGCCUUUUUAUGUUAUUAUUCCAUCCUCCCUCCUUCCACCAUUAACCAAUUAAACUACCUUUCUCUCCUCUGCCAGCCAACUGCCCCCAUUCCAUUUUCUCUCCAAGAACUUUCCUUUUCAGUUUGUUCUUACUCACCCAUGAAAUGGGUAUCAAAAUUUUUGUCAUCCUAUUCAUGGCAACCUCAAUGUUCCUCUACCUAUUGUACAUCCCUGCAAAACUAACCAUACCCAUUUCCAGAUUCACCCCAGUCAUCAACUUAAAUAUGCUGAAAGAACACAAACCUUACCCGGUAACCUUUGCUUACUUAAUUUCUGCUUCUAGAGGUGAUACCAAGAAGCUAAUGAGGGUUAUAAAGGCACUUUAUCAUCCAGGGAAUUAUUAUCUGAUUCAUGUGGACGCUGAUGCACCGGAGGUGGAGCACAGAGCUAUAACAGAAUUUGUGUCCAGUGACCCAGUUUUUAGCCUUGUAGGCAAUGUUUGGAUUGUUGGGAAAUCAAGUUUGGUGACUUAUAGAGGCCCAACUAUGCUUGCUACUACUCUCCAUGCAAUGGCUAUAUUGUUGAGGACUUGCAAAUGGGACUGGUUUAUCAAUCUUAGUGCCUCUGAUUAUCCCUUGGUGACUCAAGAUGGUAUGGUGAGUGGCCUUGUUGAUAUCAGCAUAAGCAUGUACUCCAUUAUUGCCUGCAAAAUUUUCCAUAAAGAUUUCCUUAUUUGUCAUGUAUUUAUUUGUUUGUUUAUUACUAAUUUUCUUUCCUUCUACUCUUUUAUCCUGUUAAUAAUGUGAUUUUGUGAUCCAAUUUUAUUUCCAGAUCUAAUUGAUGCCUUCUCUGGCUUACCAAGAGAUCUCAACUUCAUACAGCAUAGCAGUCACUUGGGCUGGAAACUGAAUAAGAGAGCCAAACCAAUCAUAAUAGAUCCAGGGCUUUACAAACUCAACAAAUCAGAAAUUUGGUGGGUUAUCAAGCAGAGGAGUCUCCCAACUGCCUUCAAGCUCUAUACAGGUUUUUCCUCAAAUCUUUUUUUUCUUUAUUAUUAUGAACAAUACAUUGGCAUCCAUGCUUUUCCAUUUCCAUGCUCCACAAAUUAAUGGCACAUAAUUUUAUUUAUUCAUUUAUUUAUAUUAUUUUUCGUGCUUAUCACUAGCAUGUGAGGUUUCAGCAGUGGAUGGACAUGUAUCUUUAAAGUUUAAAAUUUGAUAGUUUAAUUUUGCAGGCUUUGAUUGGGCCCCUAUGUUUUGGCUGUAUUUAAAAAUGUUCCCCUCUGUUUCCUUUCUUUUUUUUUUUAACUUCAUUCUUAUAUUGUCCAGAUUGUCAUCAUAUCAGAACCCUGCCGACAAGAAUUCUUAAAUUUCAUUUAGGAAAGACUUACUUCAACCUGGUGCAUAUACCCAAUCAAUCUAUAAAUGCCACAUUAUAUGAAAUCAUUGGUAUUACCUAUUUAAAAUUAUGGUUUAUUCACUUUUAAUUGGUUGGAUGUACAUACGCUCGGGUGCAUACAAGAAUUUUCCAUUCCUCAUAUCCUAAAGGGAUUGAUUUGAAAUUUCCUAGGCUUGGUACUUGGCAGCAUUAACAUUAAACCUUGUAUUUUUUUUUUUUUUUU
rnacentral:misc_RNA from 1 species